UCUAUUGCCAAUUAUUAUUAUUAGUUAAUUGACUUAAUUCUGGUGCAGCAAAUUCCCGUUCUUCUUUAACAUGACUUACGACGGUGACAGUGCCAAUCCUCGGGAUUUAGCUGACGUUAACAGCAAUCUGUCUAUCAAAAAGUACUGGGAAAAAGAAGAAGAGUAUUUAAAUGAUUGGAAACUGAGAGCGAGGAAUGACAAAGACUUUUUGGAACGGCUAACAAAAGAACUUUCAAAGAUAAACCGGCUUGAUUUAAUUCGAGAGUUACUGAACGAUCCAGUGAUAAAAAGAUCAAUAAAGAAAGAAAGCAGUAACGAACACGAACUCCCACUACCACAUCAUAAAAGUAAAGCUACGUUACUUAAGUCAAAAUGCUGUGUUGUUGUCUACUCUUUACUAAUGAUACUACUAAUGGUUUUAUUGGCCUUAAGUAUACUCCCGAUGUUGUUUAUGAUUGAUGUCUCACACACUGCUCUUUAUAAGGAAAAAAAUGCUGAUAGAAUAGUCGGUGAAGGGGAUUCUGUUUCAACGUACACAUUAGAUAAGAAAUACGUAAACACGAUUGAAAUAUCUGAAAAAGUCGAAAAAGGUGACAGCAAACAUAGUGUGACACUGGUUCUGGUCCCAACAGCUAAACUACAAUAUGACGUAAUCUAUGAAUCAGAGUCUUGGAAUGCAACAGCCUAUGUUCCUGAUUUCCCAAUUAUUAAUAAUAUCUAUGUAUAUCUCAAUGCUCGAUCCAAAGUAAAUUUCAACAUCUGGAUUGGUAAUGGCAAAAAUAAAAAAUCCGCUACACUAUACAUAUUUGAUGACAUUGAUAACUUGAAUGACUAUAUCAGGUACAGCGAAGUGAAGUCACCUGUAUUUACAAAGGAAAUACCAGUUGAAGGGAAAAAUGGAAAGCAAAUACCACAAAAUUAUCUUUUUACAUCUCCAGCUGAUGGAUAUUACUACAUUAUUCUGCUAUCGCCAGAAGCUAACAUCCAAUUUUCAUACAACGUUAACACAACCGAACUAGUUACUGAUGUUGAUCAAUACACUUCUGACUACCCAUCCUGUGUGAUUGAUACGGAAAGAAAUUGUACACUCACAACUAGCAAUGCUAAGCAUCCAAGUAGUGAGAAUCUUACUUUAUUAGCUGCUGCAUCAACCAAAUACGACAUCAGUAGCAAAAUCACUCACAUUCACUUGAAGUUUACGAAUCGUUCCUAUUUGAUGGCACUACCCAGUAUCAUCUUUGGAAUUACAGCGGGUAUUGCAGUAUUAAUACUCAUUAUAUUGCUUUCUAUUGCAGUGAGUGUAGUUUGUAUGAAGAGGAAGAGUCAUAGAGCAGGAUAUGUCUCUAUAAAUUAGAAGUUUGAUGUUUUGAUUAUUAUUAGUAUAUCAGUAUUAUUUUCUGGGUGAAUUUGUUUUUCUUGAUAUCAGUUGUAUCAAUGAUAGUAUGUAGUGUAACCUGAUAAUCUAAAAUGAUAACAAUAAUCUUUCAUAUAGUGGGUGGUACAGCUUUGUUAAGUCACUACUAGACCCUGGCCCUUAGGGAGUAUCAACACAAAAGAUAUGGGGAAUUGCUGUGGGUGCAGGUCAGAGGAGAGGCUUAGAUCACCAGUGUCAAAGGAGGGAAAGGAAAUUUCAUUUACAGAGGAAGUGGAGGAGCAGCAAAAGCCCCUAGUGGGUGAUCCUGAGCCAACUCCAAAGAGAAAUUCCCUUGGAAUCGAUGAUGCUGUUGUAAUUGACAUUGUGUACUAUGAGGAUCCAACCCCAGCAGUACCUGGAAGCUGUACCAAAGUAGAUGAAGAUAGUGUUGAGCUUGCUGCCACUGAAACAACUGGGGCCACCUUUGACUGUGACCAUGCCACUGAACAAAUUCGUCAAUGUUUAGAUAAAACUGUUCAAGUUAGUAUUACCAAGGUGACAGGAUUUAAGAAAAGAUGUGAAACGGGUUUUACUAAACCCAAGACAAUAAUAAAGGUUACAGUGGCACCAGAGACUCAGAGUCAAUGGCCGGAUGAUGGUUCGACACUUGAAGGCCAAUUGAAAACAAAAAUUGAAACUGAAUGGAAUUCCCAGCUUAAAAAAGACUAUUUUGCUUUGAUUACUAUGAAAAAACAACAAUGUUGAAGACUAAUAGGCUACAUGUUCACAAUAUUGAGUGUAUAACACUGACUAUACAAACAGCUUAACUGCAAUAUACUCCAAAUCAUUGGAUUUUUGUCACUUUUUAAAGAGAUUUUUAUACUAUUA